CAACCUGCUUCAAGGACAGUACUUCAAUGCUGUAGACCUCGCAGAAAUAGCCCAAGAAAUGGACCAAGCAGAACAGCGGCACAUGGCUGAGUUUGGCAUGCAGACAGAAGACUUCAGACGAUUUAUGGAGCAACCAUCUGUGAAUAUGGAUGACACUGGGAUGUUUAGCGUCCAGGUGAUCACUUCGCGUUGAAGCUGUGGGACCUUACGCUUGUUCCCUAUGAGUCAUCCAGUAAUUUAGCCCAGAAGGCACGAGGCAACCCCACGGAUCAGCAGGCUUACAUCUGUAAUUUCAAGGAACACUGGCUGACUAUGCGAAAGCUAGGCUACCAGUGGUUUAAUCUCAAUAGCCAGCUGC